AUCGGUAGCUGGUCUGAGAGGACGACCAGCCACACUGGGACUGAGACACGGCCCAGACUCCUACGGGAGGCAGCAGUGGGGAAUAUUGGACAAUGGGCGAAAGCCUGAUCCAGCAAUGCCGCGUGGGUGAAGAAGGUCUUCGGAUCGUAAAGCCCUUUCGGCGGGGACGAUGAUGACGGUACCCGCAGAAGAAGCCCCGGCUAACUUCGUGCCAGCAGCCGCGGUAAUACGAAGGGGGCUAGCGUUACUCGGAAUUACUGGGCGUAAAGGGCGCGUAGGCGGCACCGUCAGUCGGGCGUGAAAUUCCUGGGCUCAACCUGGGGACUGCGCUCGAUACGGCGGAGCUAGAGGAUGGAAGAGGCUCGCGGAAUUCCCAGUGUAGAGGUGAAAUUCGUAGAUAUUGGGAAGAACACCGGUGGCGAAGGCGGCGAGCUGGUCCAUUACUGACGCUGAGGCGCGACAGCGUGGGGAGCAAA
rnacentral:rRNA from 1 species